AUUGAACGCUGGCGGCAUGCCUUACACAUGCAAGUCGAACGGCAGCGGGGACUUCGGUCCGCCGGCGAGUGGCGAACGGGUGAGUAAUGUAUCGGAACGUACCAUUGAGUGGGGGAUAACUAUCCGAAAGGAUAGCUAAUACCGCAUAUUCUCUCCGGAGGAAAGCAGGGGACCGCAAGGCCUUGCGCUCAUUGAGCGGCCGAUAUCAAGUUAGCUAGUUGGUGAGGUAAAGGCUCACCAAGGCGACGAUCUGUAGCGGGUCUGAGAGGAUGAUCCGCCACACGGGAACUGAGACACGGUCCAGACUCCUACGGGAGGCAGCAGUGGGGAAUUUUGGACAAUGGGGGCAACCCUGAUCCAGCCAUGCCGCGUGAGUGAAGAAGGCCUUCGGGUUGUAAAGCUCUUUCGGCCGGGAAAAAAUCGCAUGGGUUAAUACCCUGUGUGGAUGAUGGUACCGGAAUAAGAAGCACCGGCUAACUACGUGCCAGCCGCCGCCGUAAUAC
rnacentral:rRNA from 1 species